rnacentral:rRNA from 1 species
UUCCAGACUCCUACGGGAGGCAGCAGUGGGGAAUAUUGGGCAAUGGAGGAAACUCUUACCCAGCAAUGCCGCGUGAAUGAAGAAGGUCUUCGGAUUGUAAAGUUCUUUAAUUGGGGACGAAAAAAAUGACGGUACCCAAGGAAUAAGCCCCGGCUAACUACGUGCCAGCAGCCGCGGUAAUACGUAGGGGGCGAGCGUUAUCCGGAUUCAUUGGGCGUAAAGCGCGCGUAGGCGGCCUGUUAGGUCGGGGGUCAAAUACCGGGGCUCAACCCCGGUCCGCCCCCGAUACCGGCAGGCUUGAGUCUGGUAGGGGAAGGCGGAAUUCCCAGUGUAGCGGUGGAAUGCGCAGAUAUUGGGAAGAACACCGGCGGCGAAGGCGGCCUUCUGGGCCACGACUGACGCUGAGGCGCGAAAGCUAGGGGAGCGAACAGGAUUAGAUACCCCGGUAA